CCUAACACAUGCAAGUCGAACGGUAACAGGAAGCAGCUUGCUGCUUCGCUGACGAGUGGCGGACGGGUGAGUAAUGUCUGGGAAGCUGCCUGAUGGAGGGGGAUAACUACUGGAAACGGUAGCUAAUACCGCAUAAUGUCGCAAGACCAAAGAGGGGGACCUUCGGGCCUCUUGCCAUCGGAUGCGCCCAGAUGGGAUUAGCUUGUUGGUGGGGUAACGGCUCACCAAGGCGACGAUCCCUAGCUGGUCUGAGAGGAUGACCAGCCACACUGGAACUGAGACACGGUCCAGACUCCUACGGGAGGCAGCAGUGGGGAAUAUUGCACAAUGGGCGCAAGCCUGAUGCAGCCAUGCCGCGUGUAUGAAGAAGGCCUUCGGGUUGUAAAG
rnacentral:rRNA from 1 species